AGCGAACGCUGGCGGCAGGCUUAACACAUGCAAGUCGAGCGGGCACUUUCGGGUGUCCGCGGCGGACGGGUGCGUAACGCGUGGGAACGUGCCCUCUGGUUCGGAAUAACUCAGGGAAACUUGAGCUAAUACCGGAUACGCCCUUUUGGGGAAAGGCUUGCUGCCGGAGGAUCGGCCCGCGUCUGAUUAGCUAGUUGGUGAGGUAACGGCUCACCAAGGCGACGAUCAGUAGCUGGUCUGAGAGGAUGAUCAGCCACACUGGGACUGAGACACGGCCCAGACUCCUACGGGAGGCAGCAGUAGGGAAUAUUGGGCAAUGGGCGCAAGCCUGAUCCAGCCAUGCCGCGUGAGUGAUGAAGGCCUUAGGGUUGUAAAGCUCUUUUAUCCGGGACGAUAAUGACGGUACCGGAGGAAUAAGCCCCGGCUAACUUCGUG
rnacentral:rRNA from 1 species